GCUUCGGUAGCAUAGUGGUAGUGCGUUCGCUUUCUAAGCAAAAGGUCGCGAGCGAGUUCAAUCCUUACCGGGAGCU